CAGCAGUUUAACAUUUUAUUCUUGAUCUUUGAGUCUUUCCUCUGCUUAUACAUACAUUUUCUUAAAAUUUAUGUACACCUACACAUUGGCCUAGAUGCAUUGGAGAAUUACCACAUCUUCUGGGCCAUAAGAAUAUAUCCUUGGUAGGGGAAUUAAUCCACCUACACUAGUACUACAGAGCAGCAAAGUGGGGGCGCAUACUUUCAUAAUGUGAAGGAAUUUCAAUACCUGCAUACCUAAAAGCAGGGAUCACUGUAUGCAGGUUUUUUUUUUUUUUUCCAGAGCUUAGAAGAAGAGCUAGAAUUGGCUUUUGUGUAAAUAUAAAGUAGCACACACAAGGUAAUACACCUGAAGCCUGUUUCGCACUCUAUAGAAACAUAGAAUGUGAGGAAAGAUAAGAAUCAUUCGGCCAAUAUAAUCACCCCAAUUUUCUAAAUACUUUCAUUAGUCCCUGGCCUUACCUUAUAGCUAGGAUAGCCUUAUGCCUAUCCCACACAUGCCCAAACUCCUUCACUGUGUUAACCUCUACCACUUCAGCUGGAAGGCUAGUCCAUGCAUCCACUACCCUCUCUGUAAAGUAAUACUUCCUGAUAUGUUUAAACCUUUGCCCCUCUAAUUUAAGACUAUGUCCUCCUGUUGUGAUAGUUUUUCUUCUUUUGAAUAUAGUCUCCUUCACGGUGUUGAUUCCCUUUAUAUAUUUAAAUUUUUCUAUCCUACCUCCUACCCGCCCU